GUGCUUACUUAAAUAGCCUGUAUACUAAAAUUGGAAUGAUCCAGAGAAUCAUGACUACUGAUCAAGAAUGACAUGCAAAUUCAUGAAGCAUUCCACAUUUUU